rnacentral:rRNA from 14 species
GAUGUUGGGUUAAGUCCCGCAACGAGCGCAACCCUUGCCUUUAGUUGCCAGCAUUAAGUUGGGCACUCUAGAGGGACUGCCAGGGAUAACCUGGAGGAAGGUGGGGAUGACGUCAAAUCAUCAUGCCCCUUAUGUCUUGGGCUUCACGCAUGCUACAAUGGCCGGUACAAAGGGCUGCGAUACCGCGAGGUGGAGCGAAUCCCAAAAAGCCGGUCUCAGUUCGGAUUGGGGUCUGCAACUCGACCCCAUGAAGUCGGAGUCGCUAGUAAUCGCAGAUCAGCAACGCUGCGGUGAAUACGUUCCCGGGCCUUGUACACACCGCCCGUCACGUCAUGAAAGUUGGUAACACCCGAAGCCAGUGGCCCAAACGUGUUAGGGAGCUGUCGAAGGUGGGAUCGGCGAUUGGGACGAAGUCGUAACAAGGUAGCCGUACCGGAAGGUGCGGCUGGAUCACCUCCUU